CAAAGAUCCACGUGGAGAUAUGGAGAAGAGCCUCAAAGAAGCAUGAAGCUGAGGUGCAUUGCAAAAGGUGCAGAGACAAACCUGGAGUAGCCAGGCAGUACUGAGAGGACUGCAGGCAGAGAGGCUGCAUGGAGCAGUGCAUUGGCAUGCAUGAUCUAUCUCACAUCUGGGUGAGACUCAAGGUAAUUUCCUGUGGGGUGAGGGAAGUAAGAGUGGAGGUUAAAAUAGAGCAUGCUUGAAAUAUUUAUGUAGCUUCUCCUUUCAUUUUCAGUUAUUUCACUCUCUGGUGACAGUUUGAGCCACUCCCUGUCUCUGAUAGCAGAUACCAAGAAGAAACAUGGCUGUAAUUUUAAGAAGACAUGAUUGUUUUUAAAAUCGCAUACAAAACCAGCCCCAGGAGUAGCUUGUUCCUUCUAAAUCUGGAUUUGUAGGUACACAUGGAGCAUCCGUAUCUACCAGAAAGGAGGCUUAAUGACUGCAGCAACACUGCCCAGUGUGAACCAGGUGCUGAUGGAAGGACUGAGAACUGGAUGGGCCAGGUAAGGGGUCCCUCUUAUGGACUUUUGAAUGUCAACAUUGUUACCUACAUCACUGCUCAUCCAUGCAAAUAAGAAAGGAAAAAUACAUUGCAGAGAUUUACAGCAGUUUGAGGCAUGCCACUGUGAAGUGCUAGCUCUGGAUAGGUAAGAGAUGGAUAUAUUACAGCAGAGGCGUGUAAAAACACAAAGUGGGGCUGGAAAGGGUUUUCAAAUUU
rnacentral:lncRNA from 1 species